CCCUUAGAUGUUCUGGGCCGCACGCGUGCUACACUGAGUGGAUCAGCGGGUCAGGUUGCGCGAAAGCGUUUCCUAAUCUUUAAAUCCGCUCGUGAUGGGGAUUGACGGUUGCAAUUUUCUGUCAUGAACGAGGAAUACCUUGUAAGCGCGGGUCAUCAUCCCGCGCUGAUUACGUCCCUGCCCUUUGUACACACCGCCCGUCGCUCCUACCGAUUGAAUGUUCCGGUGAGCUCUUCGGACUGCGCGGUCUGCAGUUUCUGCGUUCCGUGCGGAAAGUUGCGCAAACCUUAACAUUUAGAGGAAGGAGAAGUCGUAACA
rnacentral:rRNA from 1 species